ensembl:ncRNA C41G11.7 ncRNA
UUGCUCGUUUUGCUGCUCUGUCUUCCCACAAGAGCACCGGACAUCAUGAGUCACAAACAUCGUGCAUCCUUGUUGUCGUCGUAGCAUCGAGUCAAGUUGCAAGGUCGCAUUUCAUUUCGGAUGCCCGAUUUU